AUUUAACUUUAUUUUACAUUUUGUUUUCAUUCUAGAAUCCAGGCUGACUGAUAAGCCCCUUACAUAGACACACUGUCCUUGAGAAAAAGCGAAAAGAAAAGAUGAAAAGCCUAGCAGUGACAUCUAAAGCUUCUGCAGUAAACUUAACUUCAUAUUUUACUGGAAUACUUGACACCUGUAGGGAGGAACACUGCAAAUCACAUGGCACAGAUCCACGAAGGUGAAAAUGGAGGAGGGCUUAAGAACAGGGAAGAGCUGGGGCAUGGAGGAGGCAAAGAGAAACAGGUAAAAUUAAUUCCUUCAAGGAAAAUGGGGGUGGAAGUAACAGUGAAAAGAUAUUUAUUGGCUGAGGCAAAUACGUGGGCUCAGGUGUAAGCUGUUCUCUCAACACAACAUAUCCAUUGAAUAGAUUCAUUUACUUACUAAUCA
rnacentral:lncRNA from 1 species